rnacentral:rRNA from 1 species
UACAGAGGUCUCAAGCGUUGUUCGGAUUCAUUGGGCGUAAAGGGUGCGUAGGUGGCGCGUUAAGUCAGGUUUGAAAUUUCGGAGCUUAACUCCGAAACUGCAUUUGAUACUGGCGUGCUUGAGGACUGGAGAGGAGACUGGAAUUCAUGGUGUAGCAGUGAAAUGCGUAGAGAUCAUGAGGAAGACCAGUGGCGAAGGCGGGUCUCUGGACAGUUCCUGACACUGAGGCACGAAGGCCAGGGGAGCAAACGGG